rnacentral:rRNA from 1 species
GGGAAUAUUGGACAAUGGGGGCAACCCUGAUCCAGCCAUGCCGCGUGUGUGAAGAAGGCCCUCGGGUUGUAAAGCACUUUCAGCGAGGAAGAACGCCUAUCGGUUAAUACCCGGUAGGAAAGACAUCACUCGCAGAACAAGCACAGGCUAACUCCGUGCCAGCAGCCGCGGUAAUACGGAGGGUGCAAGCGUUAAUCGGAAUUACUGGGCGUAAAGCGCGCGUAGGUGGCUUGAUAAGCCGGUUGUGAAAGCCCCGGGCUCAACCUGGGAACGGCAUCCGGAACUGUCAGGCUAGAGUGCAGGAGAGGAAGGUAGAAUUCCCGGUGUAGCGGUGAAAUGCGUAGAGAUCGGGAGGAAUACCAGUGGCGAAGGCGGCCUUCUGGACUGACACUGACACUGAGGUGCGAAAGCGUGGGUAGCAAAC